rnacentral:rRNA from 1 species
UACAGAGGUCUCAAGCGUUGUUCGGAUUCAUUGGGCGUAAAGGGUGUGUAGGUGGCGCGCUAAGUCGGGUGUGAAAUUUCGGAGCUUACUCCGAAACUGCAUUCGAUACUGGCGUGCUUGAGGACUGGAGAGGAGACUGGAAUUCAUGGUGUAGCAGUGAAAAAUGCGCAGAUAUCAGGAAGAACACCCGUGGCUAAGGCGGCUCUCUAGUAACGGUGACUGACGCUGAGACGCGAAAGCGU